rnacentral:rRNA from 1 species
AUUGAACGCUGGCGGCAUGCCUAACACAUGCAAGUCGAGCGGAUGAAGGGAGCUUGCUCCUGGAUUCAGCGGCGGACGGGUGAGUAAUGCCUAUGAAUCUGCCUGGUAGUGGGGUAUAACGUCCUGAAACGGGCGCUAAUACUGCAUACGUCCUGAGGGAGCAAGUGGGGGGUCUUCGGACCUCACGCUAUCAGAGGAGCCUAGGUCGGAUUAGCUAGUUGGUGGGGUAAAGGCCUACCAAGGCGACGAUCCGUAACUGGUCUGAGAGGAGGAUCAGUCACACUGGAACUGAGACACGGACAUGACUCCUACGGGAGGCAGCAGUGGGGAAUAUUGGACAAUGGGCGAAAGCCUGAUACAGCGAUGCCGCGUGUGUGAAGAAGGUCUUCGGAUUGUAAAGCACUUUAAGUUGGGAGGAAGGGCAGUAAGUUAAUACCUUGCUGUUUUGACGUUACCAACAGAAUAAGCACCGGCUAACUUCGUG